rnacentral:ncRNA from 2 species
UUCUUAUCCAGAGAGGUGAAGGGACUGGCCCGUUGAUACCUCAGCAACAGACCGUAAGGUACUGUGCUAAUUCCAGGAGCAGUAUCUGCUCGAAGAUAAGCC